UUUACAUGCACUGGCUUUGUGGAAGUAUAAUACAUUUUGUGUCUUCUUUGAUGUUUUCCUGGCCUAUGAUUCUGAAGAAUGGUAAUGUCUGUAAGUAUGCUGAUUGGAAGUGCUAAAUACUCAGGUUCUAUCCUAGAGAAGAGGACAAGAAUGGGGAAAUAAGCCACAUCUCAAGGAACUUGGGAUCACAUUGUUCUGCAGAUAGAAAGGCACUGCUGUGUUCCAGGUAACUCACCAAGGGAACGUGGUGAUUUAAUUGUCUGGAUGGCACAGCAAGGGAUCCUCUGAAGUUAGAUUGAAGUUGGCUCUGUUGUAUCCUGCUUCUGUUUCAGAAAAAUACACACUUUCUUUGGAUACUCAGCAUGAUAUUCAGUAUGCAUAGAUGUGAGAGUCUAACAAAGAAGAAAUGCUGUUAUUUUUUAUUCACUACUCUCCUGGGGUCCCUUGACACUUGGAGUUAACAUACUUCCUUAGAAAUAUUUAACUGUUAAUGGUUCUUUCUAGGUAAAACCAAAUCAGACAAUGUACACGUCAAG